GCAGAAGCUUUGCACGCAGGUACAGGC
rnacentral:piRNA from 1 species